rnacentral:rRNA from 1 species
ACAAGCAGCGGAGCGUGUGGUUAAUUCGAGGCUACACGAAGAACUUACCAGGUUUGACAUGCAAGUGGUAGGAAUCCGAAGGUGACGACCCUUCGGGAGCUUGCACAGGUGCUGCAUGGCUGUCGUCAACUCGUGUCGUGAGAUGUUCGGUUAAGUCCGCUAACGAGCGCAACCCUCGUCGUGUGUUAUACGUGUCACACGAUACUGCCGGUAUCAAGCCGGAGGAAGGUGGGGAUGAUGUCAAGUCAGCAUGGCCUUUAUAUCCUGGGCUACACACACGCUACAAUGGCAGAUACAAUAGGUUGCGAAACCGCGAGGUGGAGCCAAUCCUCAAAGUCUGUCUCAGUUCAGAUUGUAGGCUGCAACUCGCCUGCAUGAAGUUGGAGUUGCUAGUAAACGCAGGUCAGCUAUACUGCGUUGAAUACGUUCCCGGGGUUU